ACCACUGUCGAAAGGCAGUGCUGAAUGCACAGAAGUCAGCAGAGGUCAUAGUAGUUGGGAAAGCCUAAUGAAGGAC
rnacentral:ncRNA from 1 species